rnacentral:sRNA from 1 species
UCCUCCGGAUCCGGGCUUGAUAGAGCCAG